AUGAAGUGGGCUGUCAGCUGCUGCACAGUGGGGAGAUGGUGACUGACUCCGAGGCACACAUAAGCAAGACAAAACACAAUCUCACCUACUCCCACCUAACCUGAAGGUGGAAGCAGCAGGAUAAACCUGAAUUUACUGAGCCUGGGACUGAAAGAUGAAAGCUGAGAAUUAAUGUCCUACCACCUUUAUGGAGAGGAAAGCCCACAGACCUUGAAGAACAAAUGAUGCCAUGGAAUAGUAAAAGAAUCAGGUUUGGCUGAAUCAGCAGCUACUAAAUCCAGGAGCCUCUGGAUAUGGAGAUUGUUCAAGACAAACUCACAUGGAUGUACAUGCAGGUAUUUCUAGGCUAAUCCUUUACUGAAUUAAAAGAGCUGUAAAGAUGUCUUUUGUUAUUAGUAUGGGCAUAGGACUUCAGCACCUUUUUCCAGACAUUUCACUGGUGUUGAGUACUUUCUCAGACAAAAAAAUAUGUGGAGAUUGCUUUGGAACCAUCAGUGGCACCUGGGAUAGGUCCAAAUUGUGGCCUGAUGUCAGCUCCCAGACAAAGCCAGCUGUUUGAAGAUCCUUUCUGGAAGGCUGUGGAGAUGUGCUGCCCAUCAUCCGUCUGACUUCCUGAAACUGUCUGUCAGGGAGAGAAAGACAUUUUCCGAUAUAUAAAUGUGAUUUUAGAAUAAAGGUCUUGAAAGUUCGUACUCUAAAAAUUUAUAACUAAAUGCAAAAUCUGCCAUUGGGAUUUUUUUAAAGCAUAUAAUAAGAUAUGUAAUAAAAGAACAUUAGGAAAGUUAGGCCCCAGCUUACUGCAAAAACUUUGUCCCAUCUUCAUCUCAAAGGACAGUGUAGGAACUGAAGGACAUCUAUUGUGUCUGUCUGUAGCAAUCAAGCAACUAACACCCCUGAGGCAUGAAAAUCACUGGUUUAGUCCUGAUUUGAGAAGCUGAAUCAUUAUUUCAAUCCAUCUGUCUGGGACUUGAUCAAACCAAAAUAACUAGGACUGCAUUCAGAAUAAAUGUAUCUGUUAUCACCUGAAGUACAUGUAGGCUUCCUUUUGGACUCUCAAGAUAAAAUCCUUGAAGUGUUUAAUCACUUGACCUUGCCUAAAAUAGGAGUGAGGCACCUAAUACCUUUGAACUUCAAGCUUUGAAGUCCUGGGUCACAAAGUAUUUCCUCUCUCUUUCUGUAUCACUAAUCUAUACAAUUGCACAUUUCAUUUUUCCGGAUACAGAGGAACCCCAUGUUCAGUCCAGGGUUUUGGUUAAUCUCAUCUUUCUCUUGCUGGACCAGACAAAAGCAAUACAGUAGCUUUUUUCUCUUUUGUUUUCUGUUAGUUAGUUUAUUUUUUUUUUAUUUCAGUUAACCUAAUUUUGUGCAAUUAAAAAAUAUCCAAAGUCAAAUAACUAGUUGAAAAAGUGCAGUUUCUCUUCCCCUUCACCUGUUUUUUUUAAUAACUUCAGGCUCUACUAAUGAUAGAUAGAUUAUGCUGUCCUUGUCUUUUUCCAUUCUAGAAAUAGUUUAGAAUAACAAAAAAGCCAUUUUGUUUGCACACCUCUCUCUUAAUUCUUCCUUGGUGUAUCUCUCCGUCACGGCAUGACACUGUGAUGAUAUCAAACAGUGAAAGAGGAUAUUUUCUGUGCAGUGUUUAGACUGCACAGAUACCCAAGAUAAAUCUGAGAUAAGUUUGUUUUGUUUUUUGUGUUUUUUUUGUUUGUUUGUUUGUUUUUUGUUUUUUGUGGUGGUUUUUUAUUUUGGUGUCUUAGCUGCAGUGCUAGAAGGUAUCAUUUCAGAAGCCACCUGCCUAUUCUCCCUCAUUUUGCUUAUGUCAUGAGUUUAAAUAAUGAACCCUAGACAACUCUUUUUCCCUCCCUUUCUAACUCAACUCUUAGUCAUAGUCUUUCCCAAAAGACCAUCCUGUAGUCAACUCUUGUGCUUUUGUGGCUGCCCUGAAAUGUCAAAAAAAAUUUUCCUGAAUGUCUUUUUCCAGACUUGGAGGCUUAUCACAAAUGUUUGAGAACUGGCUGUUAAUUUGCUGGGUUUGGGUUUUGUAACCUGAUUCUGGAACUCUGGAGGUAUUGUUCUGCCCUAGGAGGAGCAAGGUUCUUUCUGAGUCCCAGCAAGACAGAACAGCAAGUAGAAUAAGGUAGAAAGUAGGAAGAGAAAUACAGAUAUCAGGCCAGUUUUAAUGUUCUUUCAGGGGGUGAGAACUUCACCUGUAUCUGCCCUGGGCAGACACUGGCUGGACAGCCACGGUGUGCUA